CUCAGGCAGUUUGGACUGGAUCCUGAAGGCAGGAGGCCACUGCAGGAGUGUAAAGCAGGCAGGGCGACAUGACCAGCUUUGCGUUCUCCAAGUGACUCAUGCUAGGGACAGGGACAGAUGGGAGGAGUGGAGGCAGAGAGCGUGAGGGAGGGCAGUGAGGGGCUACUGCAGAGGUCCAGGAUGGACAGACCGGUGGCUUGGCCUAGCUCGAUGGUGGAGGGGUGAAGAGGGGGGAGAGAUGGAUCCAGGCUGCACUGAGGGGGAAGACUUGGCAGGGCUGGGUUCCCUGGCACUGGGAAGCCAGGCGGAGGGAGGAGCAGGCGUGACUCAGAGCUUUUGGUUUGGGCAGAUGGGUGGAUGGCCGCACCAUUUGCUGAGCUCUGGGGGUGGUGGAAGAGAGUUCUGGUUUGCAUAUGCUGAGGAUGAGGAGGCUGCUGGUGGACCACAGAAUGACGGGCUCAAAGAGGGAGAGCGCAUGUAGGAGCCAGGCAGAAGACUGUUCAAACCUCCCCUCCCACGCUCAGCUGUGUGGCCUUCAUCGGUGACCUGCCUGUCCUUGUUUGGUUUUCUCGUCUGUACCAUGGAAUGGUCAGUGUCAUCCGCCAUUUUUCAGGAGAGGCUUAUGUAACAAGGAAGCAAUGUCUUGGACUAAACGUCACAUGGGUGAUCUUGGGAGCUAAUUCUCCAGCCUCCUAAUGACUGCAGCCCCUGGUAACAGCUGGAUGGCAAGUUCAUGAGACAACCUGAGCUACUUCGAAGUUCUCAAUGCAGAGAUGAGAUAAUAAAUGCAUGUUAUUGUUCCAA